AUGAACGCUGGCGGCGUGCCUAAUCCAUGCAAGUCGCGCGAACAGACGAGGAGCUUGCUCCUCUGACGUUAGCGGCGGACGGGUGAGUAACACGUGGAUAACCUACCUAUAAGACUGGGAUAACUUCGGGAAACCGGAGCUAAUACCGGAUAAUAUAUUGAACCGCAUGGUUCAAUAGUGAAAGACGGUUUUGCUGUCACUUAUAGAUGGAUCCGCGCCGCAUUAGCUAGUUGGUAAGGUAACGGCCUACCAAGGCAACGAUGCGUAGCCGACCUGAGAGGGUGAUCGGCCACACUGGAACUGAGACACGGUCCAGACUCCUACGGGAGGCAGCAGUAGGGAAUCUUCCGCAAUGGGCGAAAGCCUGACGGAGCAACGCCGCGUGAGUGAUGAAGGUCUUCGGAUCGUAAAACUCUGUUAUUAGGGAAGAACAAAUGUGUAAGUAACUAUGCACGUCUUGACGGUACCUAAUCAGAAAGCCACGGCUAACUACGUG
rnacentral:rRNA from 1 species